AAAAAGCGGAGGAAAAGAAACCAACAGGGAUUGCCUCAGUAACGGCGAGUGAAGCGGCAAAAGCUCAAAUUUGAAAUCUAACACUUUCAGUGUUCGAGUUGUAAUUUGAAGAAAGUUUCUCUGAGUAGUCCUUUAUCUAUGUUCCUUGGAACAGGACGUCAUAGAGGGUGAGAAUCCCGUAUGAUUUUGGAUACUAUUCUUUGUGAGAUUCUUUCGAAGAGUCGAGUUGUUUGGGAAUGCAGCUCUAAGUGGGUGGUAAAUUCCAUCUAAAGCUAAAUAUUGGCGAGAGACCGAUAGCGAACAAGUACAGUGAUGGAAAGAUGAAAAGAACUCUGAAGAGAGAGUGAAAAAGUACGUGAAAUUGCUGAAAGGGAAGGGCUUUAGGUCAGACUUGGUGUUUAAUGAUUAUCUUCUCUUUUUGAGUUGUGCACUCGUUUUUCACUGGGCCAAUAUCAGUUUUUGUGGUAGAGCACCUAUUGGAAUGUAGCUUUUCUUCGGAUGAGUGUUAUAGCCUUUAGACGAUCUAUUUACGGAGACUGAGGACUGCGCGUUAUGCUAGGAUAUUGGCGUAAUGACCUUAAGCCGCCCGUCUUGACCC
rnacentral:rRNA from 1 species